GUGAACAUACCUACAACUGUUGCUUCGGCGGGUAGGCCGUCCCCUGAAAAGGACGCCUCCCGGCCCGGACCGGACCCCCCGCGGGACCGGACCCGGCGCCCGCCGGAGGAUAACCAAACUCUAUUGUAACGACGUUUCUUCUGAGUGGCAUAAGCAAAAUAAUCAAAACUUUUAACAACGGAUCUCUUGGUUCUGGCAUCGAUGAAGAACGCAGCGAAAUGCGAUAAGUAAUGUGAAUUGCAGAAUUCAGUGAAUCAUCGAAUCUUUGAACGCACAUUGCGCCCGCCAGCAUUCUGGCGGGCAUGCCUGUUCGAGCGUCAUUUCAACCCUCAAGCUCUGCUUGGUGUUGGGGCUCUACGGUCGACGUAGGCCCUCAAAGGUAGUGGCGGACCCUCCCGGAGCCUCCUUUGCGUAGUAACAUUUCGUCUCGCACUGGGAUCCGGAGGGACUCUUGCCGUAAAACCCCCCAAUUUUCCAAAGGUUGACCUCGGAUCAGGUAGGAAUACCCGCUGAACUUAAGCAUAUCAAUAAGCGGA
rnacentral:rRNA from 1 species